GCUUAAUACUCUCUUUCGCUGUUCACGGCCCAAUUCCCUCUGUUUUUGCCCCCUCUUCCUAAAGCCCUAAAGCUGGGCUCCUUCGAUCCGAUCAAUUCGCAGAUCGUCGGAAGAACACUAGGGCGAGGAACCAUGCAUCGUGCAUCAGCAGCAGUCGAUUUAGCCCUGCCCCGGUCUGUUGGUCACUUCUCAGGUUUGCAAAACAACUUCCCUUGGGUCUGCCUUCAGGAUGCUUCCUCUACCCGCUGGCACCACUGGCACCACCACCGCUGUUGCUGCUGCCGUAUUUCGUGGUCUAUCGUCAACCAAUAUCUCCAUCAAUCACCGUGUCACUGUCAUCGAGCAAGAUUGAAACAAGCCAGAGAUUGAUGCAUGCUCAAGGUCAACAAGCCCUAAGCCAAGCUUCCACGGGGAUGAUUGUGAGGGCCAGCCAGGCCAUCCACGAUGACGAAUCCAAAAUGCUAGUGCUUCAAAGCAGCUCAUUUACUACCAAAGGACUAAGUGAAUAUGUAUUUUCCUUAUCUUGUACAUCUUUUCAAAUCAGCAUAUCUGUCCCCCCUACUUGUGUUAUCAUUGUUAGCAUAUUUUGUGGACAUGUGGAGUGGGUCGAUAAAAUUGUCCGGCGAACCUUCCAUGUAUUUUCUUCUUCUUUACUAUGGUUACUUGCUGCAUGGUGUAGCCAUAACUAUAUGCCAUAUAAAAAAUGUCUCUGUUGUCAA